rnacentral:lncRNA from 1 species
CGUUAAAUGUGCUACAGAGACACAGACUUGUAUCCAACAUUUCAGAGGUAGUCAGUAUGCAGCAGGAAAACAAAAUAAAACGCAGGCUGAAAUGGGUGGGAUCCAAGGAAUCAAAGCAGUAGAUGGACGACCAGGAGCACCCCAGGUUAUCUUCAGGAAACAGAGCGACAAAACGCAAAGGGAAUGAACUCCAUUGCCUUUGUGUGCACGAAGCCGGAAGCACGACCACUCUUCACCCUCGGCCUCAUUACAACACCAAGACCUCUGCCUCGGCGCGGGAGCUCUCACCUGGAAUCCCAGCACCUUGGGAGGCCGAAGCGGACGGAUCACCUGAGGUGUCAGGAGUUUGAGACCAGCCUGGCCAACAAGGGACGCUCACCUACCUCAUGAAUUACGCGUGUCGCCCUCCUCAAGACGCCACAACGCACUCCCCUGGGGAGCCAGCUGGAGACCUCUCCCUGCGGUGCUGUCUCCUCCGUGGUGGAACGGAAGCCCCUAAUAAAGCCUUGUCUGGGAAAUUUGCUUGGCCUCGUGUCAAUUUUUAUCGGAGCCUAAAGAACCUGUGGUCAGUAACACGAUCACUUCAGUUAUCACUUAAGUGUUGG